CAGCACAAGCAAUCUCAUGGAGAUUAGAUUAAAUUUGUUAGAUCACGAAGCAUUGGUUAUAAAGAACUGGUGUUUUGUGUCAGUUUAUGGGCACUAAAGUCUCCCCAUAAAUAGGUGGUCGAUUGAUUGCAACAUCAACUAUUUAUAUUAUCAAAGCCUUAUUAGUUCCUGCCUCCCGCAAGGAACUAUUGGCAAGGCUUCACAUUAAUUAGUUAAUAAUCAUAUCUUUUGACAGCCAAUAGCAUGGCUUGUUUUGUUCUAUGUCAAGACUAUCCUAAGUCUAAAUCCCAAUUUCCUAAGUCUAAAUCCCAAUUUGGCAGAGAUAUGUGCUUGGGUUUUAACCAUUGUUUGCAAGGUGGGAGUGUUGGCAGGCUAUAGACGGCGGAUGGAUAGGCAAUGCAAAGCCCAAGGCAAGAGAACGCCCGGAUACAGAGGAAGGGGCAAAAACUAGAUCUCGGUUAGCGUCUGUUGCACACAGUUGGCAUUUACGGCUGCACCUGUGCGACGUGGAUGUGCAGAGACAAAUGGCUCUUAGGGUUUUCGUUUUGGGCAUGCAGGGCAGAGGACCCGUUACUACACAGGUGGGAGAUGACAAUGAAACAAUAUUAAUAAACGCAUGAUGCCUCAUUUUUAAUGUUUAGCUGUCCUGGAGCACGACGUGGCCUUUUUAACUUCAGCUUUUCUUCAGCGAAAUCUGCUCUGUUCUGCAUAUCUCAUUUAAAAGAUUUCUGGAUUGCAAAGCACAUUGAGCAUUGGUAGCAUCUAAUUACACAACACAUAAAGGGAUCGAGGGGCAUGGCCUUUGUUGAGACCUUGGAGUUCAAAUAGUGGGCUAAUUGGCAUGAAUUUUAUGAUUAGGAUAAUAUUGUUGAACUUUUAUUGUUACUCGUUUGGCCAUUGCUCGAUAAUGUGCAACAUGGACCAUAAAUUGCAGUCAACAAAAUCAUUAAAUAAUAUUAUAGAUACAGAGAACUAUAAACCUUGUAGUGUGGACUUGUCAAAACAAACAAUUGACAUGGUAUUGGAAAAAAAUAAGAUGUUUAGGGUGAAAUCAUUUGUAUACAAUGUAGGCGAUUGUCUUUUUGACUCUUUCCAGUUCUUGUUACACAUGCGAUACACUUCUACAGAGCUACGCAUUGGAACUAUUGACCAUUUUAU